rnacentral:rRNA from 1 species
CCUACGGGAGGCAGCAGUAGGGAAUCUUCCACAAUGGGCGAAAGCCUGAUGGAGCAACGCCGCGUGGGUGAAGAAGGUCUUCGGAUCGUAAAACCCUGUUGUUAGAGAAGAAAGUGCGUGAGAGUAACUGUUCACGUUUCGACGGUAUCUAACCAGAAAGCCACGGCUAACUACGUGCCAGCAGCCGCGGUAAUACGUAGGUGGCAAGCGUUAUCCGGAUUUAUUGGGCGUAAAGGGAACGCAGGCGGUCUUUUAAGUCUGAUGUGAAAGCCUUCGGCUUAACCGGGGUAGUGCAUUGGAAACGGGUGGACUUGGGUGCAGAAGAGGAGGGUGGAACUCCAGGUGUGGCGGGGAAAUGCGUAGAUAUAUGGGAGAACACCAGUGGCGAAAGCGGCUCUCUGGUCUGUAACUGACGCUGGGAUUCGAGAGCGUGGGUAGCAAACAGGAUUAGAUACCCGGUAGUC